AUGGCUUUCUCCAAAGUUCUUGGAGAAACACAAAAUACCUGCAAAGAAUUGAAGUGUGGGGAUAAAGGCCCGCCUAUCCAUUUCCCUUUCAGCCUCAAAGAUAGGCAACCAGAUCACUGUGGCUAUCGUGGGUUUGCUGUGUCUUGCAAUGAGAGACAUCAGACGGUUCUUGAGCUGCCAAUUCUAGUCAAACUCUGUGUUAAAAGCAUAGAUUAUGAGCAUCAGCAAAUCUCUCUGUACGACUCAGAUAAUUGCCUGCUAGUAAAAGUUUCAGAAAUCCUCAACAUGUCAAUCUUCCCUUUCCACUUUUCAAAAGAGUCCAUGAACAUUACCUUAUUCAAUUGUUCUUCUGUUCUUGAAAGACGGCCAUAUAAUGAUCAGGUUCUAAAUGGCCCCUGCCACAGCAACCUUGGCAAUCAAAUCUAUGCCGUUUAUGAUAACUACGAAAUUGAUAACCUCCAGUCUUGCACAAAGAUGCAUAAUGUUUUAUCAGUUCCAGUUUCAAAUUCAGACAGAUCUCUUAGUGUUUUGAGAUGGUCUCCACCAAAUUGCACAGAAUGUGAAGCAGGAGGCAAGAAGUGUAUGCUGAAGAACAAUGGCACCAGAGUUGAAAUUGAAUGUGUUGACUUGAAGAAAGCAAGUGCAGCAACGAAAUUAGCGGCUACCAGUGCAACCCUGGGUUCAUUCGUCCUCUUACUACUGGUUGUUGCAGUCUAUCAGGUCUAUAGCUAUGAUAUAAAGGAAAACGAGAAUCGAUUAAAAAUUGAAAGAUUUCUAGAGGAUUACAAGGUCUUCAAACCAAGUAUAGAUAUUCCAUGCAGAUAUUAAGAGGAUUACAAAUCAGUUCACGGACAAGUUAGGCGAAGGAGCCUACGGAACUGUUUAUAAAGGAAAGCUUUCUUCUGAAAUCUUCGUUGCUGUGAAGGUCCUCAAUAGUUCUAACGGAAACGGGGAAGAGUUCAUAAAUGAAGUGGGAACAAUGGGCCAUAUCCACCAUGUCAACGUGGUUCGCUUGGUUGGCUUCUGUGCUGAUGGAUUUAGAAGAGCUCUUCUUUAUGAGUUCUUCUCCAAUGGUUCACUGCAAGAUUACAUUUCAUCAGUGGGCAACAAGAAUGGGUUCUGUGGUUGGGAUAAGUUGCAAGAUAUUGCCAUAGGCAUAGCCAGAGGCAUUGAAUAUCUUCACCAAGGAUGUGAUCGGCGAAUUCUCCAUUUUGAUAUCAAACCUUGUAAUGUUUUGAUAGACCACAACUUCACUCCAAAGAUAUCAGACUUUGGUUUGGCGAAGUUAUGUUCCAAGGAUCAAAGCAGUGUCAAUGACUACAGCUAGGGGGACCAUGGGCUACAUUGCACCUGAAGUGUUCUCCAGGAACUUUGGAAAUGUGUCCUAUAAGUCAGAUGUGUGUAGUUUUGGAAUGCUACUGCUUGAGAUAGUAGGAGGAAGGACGAAUGUCAGUUCACCCACAGAGAACACAAAUGAAAUUUACUACCCUGAAUGGAUUUAUAAUCUUCUAGAAGAGGGAGAUGACCUAUCAAUCCAUAUGGGUGAAGAAGGAGAUGGUAAAAUUCCAAACAAACUUGCAAUUGUAGGACUCUGGUGCAUCCAAUGGUAUCCAGUCAAUCGUCCUUCAAUGAAAGCUGUGGUUCAGAUGCUGGAAAAAGGAGAAAACCUAACCGUGCCUCCCAAUCCUUUUGCCUCUACAGGUGCCACACAAACAAAUGCGAGUAGGCCUGCAAGAAAUCUUAACAUUCAGUUAGAAGUGAUUCCUGAGUUGGAGUAA